rnacentral:rRNA from 1 species
GACGAACGCUGGCGGCGUGCCUAAUACAUGCAAGUAGAACGCUGAAGGAGGAGCUUGCUUCUCUGGAUGAGUUGCGCACGGGUGAGUAACGCGUAGGUAACCUGCCUCUUAGCGGGGGAUAACUAUUGGAAACGAUAGCUAAUACCGCAUAAUAGUAGAUGUUGCAUGACAUUUGCUUAAAAGGUGCAAUUGCAUCACUACCAGAUGGACCUGCGUUGUAUUAGGUAGUUGGUGGGGUAACGGCUCACCAAGGGGACGAUACAUAGCCGACCUGGGAGGGGGGUCGGCCACACUGGGACGUGGACAACGGCCAGAAUUCUAAGGGAGGGAGCAGGAGGGAAUCUUUGGGAAUGGAGGGAAGGCCGACCGGGGAACGGCGGGGGAGGGAAGAAGGGUUUCGGAUCGGAAAGCUCUGUUGUAAGAGAAGAAAGAGUGUGAGAGUGGAAAGUUCACGCUGUGACGGUAUCUUACCAGAAAGGGACGGCUAACUACGUG